AAAUUGAAAGAAAGGAGGAAAGGAAAAAGAAGCGAAUCUUGAGAAAGAUGUUUUUGGCGAUAAGUCGCGAAUAAAAGAGAAGGAGACGAUGACGCCUGUUCCUGAUGGCCUAUUACUUCAUUAAAUUGUCAUUAAAGUCAGUCUUGGAUCUAAUGAUAUUGAAGUGAAGAAUAAUUUUCUGCACCUCACACGCAC